ACCCAGGGUGUUCUAAAGAUAGAGGCAAAGCUGCUUACAGAGUCAUAAAACAUAGUGCAAGUAUUGUGCCAGUGAUUUUGUGCCUACAUCUCAAGAUGUUGUGCAAAGGGCAUUUAUGCUAGAUUUUUUUUUUUUUUUUGUCUUUCUAUGGCAGCACCCCCAGCACAUGGUGGUUCCCAGGCUAGAGGUCAAAUCGGAGCUGUAGCCACCAGCCUAAACCAGAGCCACUGAAGUAUGCAGGAUCUGGGCCAUGUCUGUGACCUACACCACAGCUCACGGCGAUGCUGGAUCCUUAGCCCACUGAGCGAGGCCAUGGAUCAAACUGGUAUCCUCAUGGAUGCUAGUCGGGUUUAUUAACCGCGGAGCCACAACUGGAACUCCAUAUGCUAGAUUAUUUUAAGAGUAUGUAACUUUAGGUAGGUAUCUGGCUCAAAAAUAGAGGAUUCAUCCUUUUUUUCAAGGCCAGUAUGUAGCUUAGUAAAUUGCAAAUUAAUACAAUCAUUAAGAUGAAACUUUAUACAAAUCAAGAAUUUAUUGACUUCUUUUUGAGAACAAAUAAUGCCCUAGUUACUCUGCAUAAUUCAUAAAUCGCCUAUUGUCCACCAGAGUGUCCCAGGCAUUUGCCGCAUGAUGGAAGAAGAAAGCUUACCUUUCAGGUGUUCCGUAGAUGCUGUGGCUCCUUUCCUGCCAUCUUUCCAGAGCCCUCCUUUGAAUGCCAGUAAGCUAAGCACCCCCAUUGCUCACACUGGAAUCCCCGAAAGGAUUAUAACCAAAGCAAAAGCCCUCUGGUGGAAGAUCUGUUUGUAACUCUAUUACAUACUACGCGACUGUUAACUAGAGGGAUUCUCAAUAGUUCUUUUAGGAGCCAUUUUAUGCUUUUUAAAAAAAUUGCUGCGUUUCUAAUGUCACUUGGGUGUGUAGUCUAAAUAUUUAAUGUUUCACAUAACAAAAAAAAAGAACACUGCAUUUGAUGUUAAAGAGCACAUACCAACCACAUAGAAGGGAAGAAUAGAACAAUAGAAAUUCCAAAUUUCCAUUUUAGAAAACUGACUAAAUGUAUGGUGUACCAUUCUCACUUUUAAAUAUGACAUAAAUUACAGCUGGACCAGAUGGCACAAGAGAACCUAGAGGAAAAUAGCAAAGAAAAGUUAAGCUUUUAUUUUUCUUUAUUUGAGCUCCUGCUGCAUCUCCUCUACGUAGAAGGGCAGUUAUAGUCCAUGGUGUUAGCAUAGGAGGACCAAAAUUUAUUAGUGUUUAAAAAUAGCUUGGUGACCUCAAGAGAUUUAUGGAUACUUAGUUCUUGUUCUGCCAGCUUCUAUUGGAUUUGUGUACAUUUCCAAAGCUUCAAUUUCCUCAGCUGAAAUUGGAGGGGAUAUUCCAUCUAAUAAUAAUACCCAUUUGUAUAUUUAGUAUUUACUUUGUGCCACACACAGUACUAAGAAGUUGACAUGUAUUAUUUCAUUUAAUCUUCGCAACAACCCAGCAAGUUAGCAAUGUGACCCAAUGGAUAUGAUAUUACAAUUAGAACCAGGCUCCUAAAGAGAAAAUCUAUAUACCUGAAAACAAUAUAAAUCUUAAAAACUCCAUCUAGUCUAAAAUUUUAUAAGAAUUUGGCCUUGGACUUAGCUAAUGUCAACUGCACAUGAAAUUUCCUGUUUCUGAUGAAAAUCAUCAAUGAGCAAAAUAGGUAUGCUGUUUCUGGGUCACCUGGCAUUCCUUCAGCCCUGGAAGGGACUUUCAUUAAUCUCCUCCAUCAUUCCCUCUCUUGCGACUGCCCAUUUUGUUUUUUUCUUAAGAGGUUUUCAUUUCCACUGCAUUCAAAACUCUCCUUUAGACUAUCUAGUUUUAUGUUUAGAAAGUUAAGCUAUUCUCAUAAUUUUAUCAAAUAGCCAGUAAAGUCCUAUUGGUAUUUUGAUCAGCAUUGUGUUUAACAUACACUGUAACUUGAGGAAAUUUGACAUCUCUAAUUAUUCUUUAACUACUCAGUCUUACCACAGAAGAGUGUGAUAUCCCCAUAAUUGUGUUUUUUAAAAUAUUCCCCAGGGAAUUCCCGUCGUGGCGCAGUGGUUAACGAAUCCGACUAGGAACCAUGAGGUUGAGGGUUCGGUCCCUGCGCUUGUUCAGUGGGUUAACGAUCCGGUGUUGCCCUGAGCUGUGGUGUAGGUUGCAGACGCGGCUCGGAUCCCGCGUUGCUGUGGCUCUGGCGUAGGCUGGAGACUACAGCUCAGAUUCGACCCCUAGCCUGGAAACCUCCAUGUGCCGCGGGAGCGGCCCAAGAAAUAGCAAAAAGACAAAAAAAAAUAAUAAAAUAAAAUAAAAAUGUGUAAGGCUUAUAUGUACUUUAAAAUUUAAAAAAAAUAUAUAUAUAUAUAUUCCCCAAUGAUAUUUUAUAUACUUCAGCAAUAAAAUUUUAGGUCUAACACAUUGCUUCUCAAAUUAAUGUACAGUUAUUUUCUUUUUUCUCAUUAGUCCCUUUCUCACUUACUGGCACCUUUCCCUGAUCCUCUCUAUGCUCCGUGAAAUAUGGAUGUUGAAACACUUUUAUCUUUUGGUUUCUUAUACUCCAAUUAUGCUAUCUCAUCCAUUCCAAUGUUCACAGCUGUCAUCUGUACAUAUGCGACUUCCACAUUUACACAUUAACCCAGUCUAUCAGAUACCUUUUGCACUCCAAACUCAGAAUAUCUAGAACCAAAUUAAUUAUUUCUGAGGAUAAAUUCAUACAUUGACUUCCAUAUUUUGGUUAAUAGUAUUACAAUGCAUCUCCAAAUUCAAAAUAUUAGGGCCAGCUUCGGCUUUUCUCUCUUUCUAUAUGCAGUCAACAGCCAGGUCUUUGAGCAUUAAGUUUCAUGAUGUUUCCAGCAUCCAUCCCUUUGUCUCUGCAGUCAUAACUACUACCCCAGUUUGUGCUCUCCUUAACUCCUAUCUGGAUUAUCGCCUUGGUCUUUAAACCUGCCUUCUUUCUUCCAUUUUCUUUUCUUCCCUCCCAACCAGCUUGAUGACCAUCUUGUUCAUCCUUCUGUGAUACAAUAUCAUUUCAGGUGAUUCCAGAUUCAGGACCCUGCGGUGGUCCACAGUGACUUCUUGCCUGAGUACAAGUUUCUUAAUUUAGAAGGCAAGACCCCCUUACACCAAUUUCCUUUCUGUUCUCCUUUUCAAAUGGGUCCUACUCUUCAACCAUUACACUAUCCUGCAACUGAACCAUUCUGUUCUCUAGAAGUAUCUGAUAAUUUCAUUCAUCUGGUCCUGCUCCAGCUGUUCCCCUGAGUACCUUCUUACUCACCUCUACCUGGUGGGCCCUUCCUUCUUUAAAGCCAUAGGAUAACUCCCUCUCUUCAUGUCUUAAUUUUGGAAACUUAUCCUGGCAGGACCGGAAUAUAAUGCUGUUUAUGUACUUGUCUCUUCUCCAUUUCCAGAUCUUUCAAAUCUUUAACUGCAGAAAUUGAUCUUACUCAUCUUUCAUUCAAAUCAGUGUUUUGUUCACAUUUAGAGUUCUCUAAAUAUUUAUUAAAACAAAUUAAAUAGACCCAAUUAUCAUAGGAAUUGCCAGUUCAGACUGAGAAACAAAUGCCUUAUUUUAAUUAGAUUCACAAGGUGCCCUGGUUAAAAUGAAACCUGAGGUAAUGCGGAUUUCUUCACUUUGGCCUUACUUAACUCAAAUUUUAAUUUAAGGUGAGCAGCUGAGAACCUCUGAUUACAAAAUCCUGCAUGUCAAUGGGUUUUUUUUUUUUAAUAGCUAAAAUGAGUUAUUUGUUAGAAAUGAAUCAUUGCAGCUAGGUAUUUGAUUCAAAAUCUGUGAUUUAUGACUUAGACUGGAAUUUUGCAGGAACAAUGUCACAUAAUACCAGAAAACACCAUUUGUUUUCAUGUACUAUUUAAAUUACACUUAUACCAAGUUACAGCGAUAUUUAAAAAGUAAUAUUAGGUGCUUCCUUACAUUUACCACAUUUUUUAUCAGAGUAGAACUGAAUUCAAACUUACUGAAUGGGGAACACUUCUUCCACAAAAAUGUUGCUUCUGAAUAACUAAUCAAACAAGAAACCUAUUCAGGUUUAUAUUUUUGCCUUCCUUUGUUCUGUGAAUUUCAUUUGUAUUUUUUAAAUGAAUAUAUUCAUGCCCCUGGGUUUUCCCUUCUGAAGUGGGAUUCAUAACAUAUCUCCAAGCUAAACCCAUAGCACAUUAUAAAAAAUAAUAUAGAUAAAAUUUUCUGUUGGAUGUUGUGAAGGUUAUUUUUCUAAAAUGGAUUUAGACCAGAAUAUUCACAGGCAGAAGUGCCUUACCUAAGAUAUUUAUUGACUUUGAUGGAAGUCCAAACAAGGCCUUAGUGUAUUCUGGAGGAAAGCGGCAAUGACACAUCUUAAAAUAGUAGGUAACUAGGUACCUUGGUGAAUGUGAAAUAAAGUACCUCCUAACUGUAAGAAUGAUCAGGGGUUUGUUUGCAGCUUUCCUUCAUCUUUUUUUAUGAUGUUAAGAGGAAACAUUGAUUAUCUUACUGUCAUCCUUAGUCCAGAAAUAGCUGCAAUUCACAUUGCCUGUAUUUUAAAAUUCUAACCAAUAAUUGAAAGGUUAAUAUCUCCCUUUAUUACUAGCAACAUUUUAAAUUCCCUAGGUGUUUUGCGUAUGAUUACAAACCACAAAAUAAUAUGCUUUGUGGAAGGUAGUCCUGACUCCCACAUUUCCACCUAUCCCCAAUUAAGGAUAGCAAAUGUAUUUUAAUGAAGAAUUUUUGUUUCUGGGGGGUCUUUUUCCUUUGAAGUGGCAGUGUACUUGUUUGUUUUGACUACUUGUUUUGCAACAGAGGUACAAAUUUGGCAAGGAAGCAGUGGCAUUCACCUCUGUUUCCCUGGAGAUCAAUUGUGGGCAUUUAUUAGGUGUUUGAUGGUGACUUUAUAGGUCAGAAAUCCAGAAUUUAGGUACCAUGUAGAAUGGAACAAACUAAACCAACUCACAUGGGAACUGAAUUUAAAACCAACAAACUAAAUGGGUGAACAAACAAUAAAAAGAUCCAGCUGAUUUGAAAAAUGAACACUUCAAUUUUUUUAAAGCCAUGUUCAGAGCUUCUAGUCAAAGGCAUUUCUGGAUACAACUCCAAAUAACACUCCUUUUAAAAAUAUUCAUAGUAGUAUCUUACUCAUUCAUUUGUACCUAUUGAGAUGAGUACUUACUAUGCACUACUGGUACCAACAGUCCCUUUUUCUCAGAGAAUUUACUAUUGCAUGAUAGGAGGCAAAUUAAAAAUAAGAGGAUUUCGCAGGGUUAACCUGUUCUGAAAAGCAGUACUGCAUUUAAAAAAAAAAAAAAAAAAGAAUUCCAUAGUUAGAUAUGUUUUGGAAAUGUUUAAUCUUCAUUGUGCGUCUCUAAGAGGAAAAUAUGGUGUGUAGCAUUUCACAAUCUUAUUAGACUUAUGAAAACAUCUUUGUGCACAGUAUGUAGCAACUCCUGUGUUCUGUAGAACACACUUUGCAAAUUGGUUAUGUAUAACAUGCAUAAGUAGCUUUAUAGCUUAUAUACCAUUUAUAGGAUAUUAAUACAAAAUUUAUACAAGCCACAUAUCUAGACUAUGUUUCAUGAUAGCUUUUUGAAGUACAUUAAACUAAUUUUCUAAAACAGAACUUUAAUAUAAUCUUAAAAGCUCUAUGUAACAGGCAUUCUGUAGAAAAAUUAUAACUUAAGGAAUAUGUAUUCACCUUGCCUCCAAUAAGAGAAAUAAAUGUAUUGUCAAUUUUAUAGCCAAAAUAUGAAAUUUUACUUGGCACUAUUUUUCCUAUUUGCAAGACCUUAAAAAAGAAACUAAAAUAAGGAAUAUGGCAAGCACAUCUAUCAUUUUGAAAUAUAAAGGUGUGCAACUACAUAAGUAUGCCCAAGAAUUCCCAUUGUGGCUCAGUGAUAAUGAAUCCAACUAGUAUCCAUGAAGACGCAGGUUUGAUCCAUAGCCCUGUUCAGUGUGUUAAGGAUCUGGAAUUGUCAUGAACUGUGGUGUAAGUCACAAACAUGGCUCAGUUACUGCAUUGCUGUGGUUGUGGCACAGGCCAGCAGCUGCAGCCUACAUUAGACCCCUAGCCUGGGAACUUACAUAUGC
rnacentral:lncRNA from 1 species